GCAAAUCGACCUGAAGUGCUUUAUGCAUAUGUGAAUAUACAUAGAAGUAAUAUUUAUACCGCCCUGGUAUAAGCAGGAAAG
rnacentral:sRNA from 1 species